rnacentral:rRNA from 1 species
GGGGAAUAUUGGACAAUGGGGGGAACCCUGAUCCAGCCAUGCCGCGUGUGUGAAGAAGGCCUUAUGGUUGUAAAGCACUUUAAGCGAGGAGGAGGCUCUUUUGGUUAAUACCCAAGAUGAGUGGACGUUACUCGCAGAAUAAGCACCGGCUAACUUCGUGCCAGCAGCCGCGGUAAUACGAAGGGUGCAAGCGUUAAUCGGAAUUACUGGGCGUAAAGCGCGCGUAGGUGGUUCGUUAAGUUGGAUGUGAAAGCCCCGGGCUCAACCUGGGAACUGCAUCCAAAACUGGCGAGCUAGAGUAUGGGAGAGGAUGGUAGAAUUCCAGGUGUAGCGGUGAAAUGCGUAGAGAUCUGGAGGAAUACCGAUGGCGAAGGCAGCCAUCUGGCCUAAUACUGACGCUGAGGUACGAAAGCAUGGGGAGCAAACA